rnacentral:tmRNA from 1 species
GGGGGUGUCAGCUUCGACAUAAGAAAUGUCUUGUUCGUGGCAGGCAGAGCUCUAAUAACUCUUAAAACUGUUAGACCAUUUAAGUGCAGACUCUAUUGUCGCACGGGCAAAGUCAAUUGUUUCUCCGUAUUUUACGGCGAACGACUUUGUUUUCGCUUACGUUCGGGCUUAAUAAGCUCGCCUAAGCGAACGAUAUUACAUUUGCCGUCCGGUACAAAUGUAGUAGACGCUUUAUUUGCGGGACUGUAACUCUAGCGUUGCUCAUGCUGGGGCCAAACACAGAGCUUUGAACUUCUUGCGUUUUGUUUGAUUUAUAGCAAGAGGUUCGAGAUCCGCCCACUGGCGGAAAAAUCAUUCUAAGCCUGCAAGAUUCGUCCAAGACACUCUUAUGCACGCGGGCUCAUUCCCGCCACCUCCACCA